rnacentral:tRNA from 1 species
AUUAUUUUGGCAGAAAAGUGCGAUAGAUUUAGAAUCUUUUCAGGUAAAGAGAUUACAAAUAAUA